AUUGAACGCUGGCGGCAUGCUUUACACAUGCAAGUCGAACGUCAGCGCGGGGCAACCUGGCGGCGAGUGGCGAACGGGUGAGUAAUAUAUCGGAACGUACCCAGAAGUGGGGGAUAACGUAGCGAAAGUUACGCUAAUACCGCAUACGAUCUAUGGAUGAAAGUGGGGGACCUUCGGGCCUCAUGAUUGUGGAACGGCCGAUAUCUGAUUAGCUAGUUGGUGAGGUAAGGCUCACCAAGGCGACGAUCAGUAGCUGGUCUGAGAGGACGACCAGCCACACUGGGACUGAGACACGGCCCAGACUCCUACGGGAGGCAGCAGUGGGGAAUUUUGGACAAUGGGCGCAAGCCUGAUCCAGCAAUGCCGCGUGAGUGAAGAAGGCCUUCGGGUUGUAAAGCUCUUUUGUCAGGGAAGAAACGGUUUGGGCUAAUAUCCUGGGCUAAUGACGGUACCUGAAGAAUAAGCACCGGCUAACUACGUGCCAGCAGCCGCCGUAA
rnacentral:rRNA from 1 species